UACGAGGGGGGCGAGCGUUGCUCGGAAUCACUGGGCGUAAAGGGUGCGUAGGUGGGCAGGUAAGUCAGUGGUGAAAUCUCCGGGCUUAACCCGGAAACUGCCGUUGAUACUAUCUGUCUUGAAUAUAGUGGAGGUGAGCGGAAUAUGUCAUGUAGCGGUGAAAUGCUUAGAUAUGACAUAGAACAUCGAUUGCGAAGGCAGCUCGCUACACUAUCAUUGACACUGAGGCACGAAAGCGUGGGGAUCAAACAGG
rnacentral:rRNA from 1 species